rnacentral:tRNA from 1 species
GGGAUCAUGGGGUAGUCUGGUAGCCUCCGAGCUUUGGGAGCUCGUGACCCCGGUUCAAAUCCGGGUGGUCCCA